rnacentral:rRNA from 1 species
CAGUCGCCGCGGUAAUACGAAGGGUGCAAGCGUUACUCGGAAUUACUGGGCGUAAAGCGUGCGUAGGUGGUGGUUUAAGUCCGUUGUGAAAGCCCUGGGCUCAACCUGGGAAUUGCAGUGGAUACUGGGUCACUAGAGUGUGGUAGAGGAUAGUGGAAUUUCCGGUGUAGCAGUGAAAUGCGUAGAGAUCGGAAGGAACAUCUGUGGCAAAGGCGACUAUCUGGGCCAACACUGACACUGAGGCACGAAAGCGUGGGGAGCAAACAGGAUUAGAUACCCCAGUAGUCCCUGUCUCUUAUAC